rnacentral:rRNA from 1 species
GCAACGCGAAGAACCUUACCAGGCUUGACAUCCCUGACCGCGUAUGAAGUACGUUUUCACCCUCGGGUGACAGGGAGACAGGUGGUGCAUGGUUGUCGUCAGCUCGUGUCGUGAGAUGUUGGGUUAAGUCCCGCAACGAGCGCAACCCCUAUUGUUAGUUGCCAUCAUUCAGUUGGGCACUCUAGCGAGACUGCCGGUAAUAAACCGGAGGAAGGUGGGGAUGACGUCAAAUCAUCAUGCCCCUUAUGACCUGGGCUACACACGUGCUACAAUGGUUGGUACAACGAGUUGCGAGUCGGUGACGGCGAGCUAAUCUCUUAAAGCCAAUCUCAGUUCGGAUUGUAGGCUGCAACUCGCCUACAUGAAGUCGGAAUCGCUAGUAAUCGCGGAUCAGCACGCCGCGGUGAAUACGUUCCCGGGCCUU